rnacentral:rRNA from 1 species
UACAGAGGGUGCGAGCGUUAAUCGGAAUGACUGGGCGUAAAGGGCGCGUAGGUGGUUAUUCAAGUUGGAUGUAAAAUUCCUGGGCUUAACCUGGGGAGGUCAUCCAAUACUGGGUAACUAGAGUACGGUAGAGGGAAGUGGAAUUUCCGGUGUAGCGGUGAAAUGCGUAGAUAUCGGAAGGAACACCGGUGGCGAAGGCGACUUCCUGGACUGAUACUGACACUGAGGCGCGAAAGCGUGGGGAGCAAACAGG